rnacentral:rRNA from 1 species
AGACCUCAGGUCAGGCGGGGCUACCCGCUGAAUUUAAGCAUAUCAAUAAGCGGAGGAAAAGAAACUAACAAGGAUUCCCUUAGUAACGGCGAGCGAACCGGGAUAAGCCCACCAUGAGAAUCGAUUGCCCUCGGCGUUCGA